rnacentral:rRNA from 1 species
AUGAACGCUGGCGGCGUGCCUCAUACAUGCAAGUCGAGCGGACGGACGAGAAGCUUGCUUCUCUGAUGUUAGCGGCGGACGGGUGAGUAACACGUGGAUAACCUACCUAUAAGACUGGGAUAACUUCGGGAAACCGGAGCUAAUACCGGAUAAUAUUUUGAACCGCAUGGUUCAAAAGUGAAAGACGGUCUUGCUGUCACUUAUAGAUGGAUCCGCGCUGCAUUAGCUAGUUGGUAAGGUAACGGCUUACCAAGGCAACGAUGCAUAGCCGACCUGAGAGGGUGAUCGGCCACACUGGAACUGAGACACGGUCCAGACUCCUACGGGAGGCAGCGGUAGGGAAUCUUCCGCAAUGGGCGAAAGCCUGACGGAGCAACGCCGCGUGAGUGAUGAAGGUCUUCGGAUCGUAAAACUCUGUUAUUAGGGAAGAACAUAUGUGUAAGUAACUGUGCACAUCUUGACGGUACCUAAUCAGAAAGCCACGGCUAACUACGUG